CCGGGAGGCGGCCGCCUGCCGCCCGCCCUGUCACGGAGCGGGCUGGGCGGCGGGGAGCCCGCCCGCCGCAGGGCUCGGGGCCUCCCCGGCGGUGCGGGGAAAUGGGGGGGCCCUGAGGCGAAAAGCGGCGGCCCCCCGGGGGAACAGGGUGGCAGGGAGCGGCCGGAGGUGUCCCCGAGCAAACACCUGGCUGCCGAGUGUCCUGCUCCAGUCCCCAAGCACAACCCAGCAGCGAGGGCGCAUCCCAUGCCCUGAGAAUCUGCUUGACCUGUCCAUGCAGCAGUUCACACCUGUAUUUUCCCCAUAAAAAUAAAUAAAUAAAGAUAAAACCUCGCUUGGAAAAGCCCCAGUGCCCAUCAUGUCUCUCUCCCAGCCCAGCUCCUCGCCUUGGGUGCGCUGAUGUCUCCUCACACAGCUCGAGGGGAACCCAUGGGCCACAGCAGGCCCCGGAGCAGACCCAAAUGCUGCAAGCCACAGAUGUUGCUCUGUCUGGAAAACAGGAACAGGACAGCAGUAACCAUCCCUCCGGCCUAAGGCGCGCAAAAUCUGAGCAGUGUAGGUAGAUUUUCAGAACAGAGCAUGAGAUUGCACUUACAACUGUUGUUUAUUCAGGAACUGGAGGCUUUCAGGACACUGAGAUCUAUAGAAAGAUAAUGCAGUGCCUGCUCUUUCUGUACGGUGCAGGACAACAUACAGCAUAGGCGUUUGUCUCAACAAAGCCCAUUUCCAUUCUUUCCAAACAGAUUGUAGUGGCUUCCAGUUGGGAUUGUCUGCUUCUAGUCUGGCUUUAAGUGCUAUCUGUUUAUCUCCAUUAGUAUACGUAGCAUUUUGACCAUUACAUGCACAUCAAAGAAAGUAUGGGCUGAACAGAUUAAAAAUAAAUAAAUCUGGCAGCUAUAA